CCUACGGGGCGCACCAGUGGGGAAUAUUGCACAAUGGGCGCAAGCCUGAUGCAGCCAUGCCGCGUGUAUGAAGAAGGCCUUAGGGUUGUAAAGUACUUUCAGUUGGGAGGAAGGCGUUGAUGCUAAUAUCAUCAGCGAUUGACGUUACCAACAGAAGAAGCACCGGCUAACUCCGUGCCAGCAGCCGCGGUAAUACGGAGGGUGCAAGCGUUAAUCGGAAUUACUGGGCGUAAAGCGCAUGCAGGCGGCCUGUUAAGUCAGAUGUGAAAGCCCGGGGCUUAACCUCGGAAUUGCAUUUGAAACUGGCAGGCUAGAGUCUUGUAGAGGGGGGUAGAAUUCCAUGUGUAGCGGUGAAAUGCGUAGAGAUGUGGAGGAAUACCGGUGGCGAAGGCGGCCCCCUGGACAAAGACUGACGCCCAGGUGCGAAAGCGUGGGGAGCAAACAGGAUUAGAUACCCCGGUAGUC
rnacentral:rRNA from 1 species